rnacentral:tRNA from 1 species
AUGGGUGUAGCUCCAAUUGGUAGAGCGGCGGAUUCCAAAUCCGAGGGCUGGGAGUUCGAAUCUCUCCACCUGUG